AGUCCCUUCCUCUAGCACUAGAAAUGUUGUGGUUCAAAUUUGGCCUGAGGGUGACCAUGCCGUUGGAGUCGAGGGAGCCGCCGAUGGUUGGAAGGAGAAGACGGAAGCCACCUCCUGCACGAUGGCUGCGGACCUGCACAAAGACUCACCGGUGUUUUUGGUGAGGGCCCUUCGACGAUCAAGUUAGAGUGGGACAAAUUUGAUCUAGCCAAAAGUCCCUUAGAAGUUAUCUGACCGAGCUAUUUAUAGUCUCGGUGGAGUGGCCUAGGUGGCAGAGGCACUAUCAGCCCUCAUCAUGAGGGAG
rnacentral:lncRNA from 1 species